UCGAUAACCUGCUAUUUUGUCUCUUUGGUAGUGAAAAUUUCCACUUCACUAAUUUGUGAACGGACCAGAUCUGAAAAUUCUUUAAUCCUUCGUUCUUGUUCUUACAAGGCGUUUCCUCCAAAAGAAGAAUAUGAACAGAGUCUGACAUAUAUAAGUUUGGACGGUAACAAGCUUGCAAAUGUAAAUAAAGGCGAUUUUAUGGACGACAAAGUUACACACCUAGAUCUUUCCCAAAAUGAAAUUAACUCUAUAAAUACGGAAGAUUUAAAAAUAUAUAAGAAUUUGUCGAUUCUGAACAUUUCCCAUAAUGGAAUUUCUGAAAGCCCUUCAUUAAUUCAU